GAUCAUGGCUCAGGACGAACGCUGGCGGCGUGCUUAACACAUGCAAGUCGAACGAGAAUCUAUGGAAAGAGGAUUCGUCCAAUUGAAAUAGAGGACAGUGGCGGACGGGUGAGUAACGCGUGAGGAACCUGCCUUUCAGAGGGGGACAACAGUUGGAAACGACUGCUAAUACCGCAUAACGCGUAGAGGUCGCAUGGCCUUUACGCCAAAGAUUUAUCGCUAGAAAGAGUCGGCCUCCGCGU
rnacentral:rRNA from 1 species